rnacentral:rRNA from 2 species
ACUUAAAUUGAAGAGUUUGAUCAUGGCUCAGAUUGAACGCUGGCGGCAGGCCUAACACAUGCAAGUCGAGCGGCAGCGGG